rnacentral:rRNA from 1 species
GAGUUUGAUCCUGGCUCAGAACGAACGCUGGCGGCGUGCCUAACACAUGCAAGUCGAGCGCGAAAGUUUCCUUCGGGAAGCGAGUAGAGCGGCGAACGGGUGAGUACAACGUAGGUAACCUACCCCCGAGACUGGGAUAACCUGUCGAAAGACGGGCUAAUACCGGAUAAGACCACGAGGGCUGCGGCCCUUGGGGCAAAAGGUGGCCUCUACUUGCAAGCUACCACUCGAGGAGGGGCCUGCGCGCCAUUAGCUAGUUGGUGAGGUAACGGCUCACCAAGGCGAAGAUGGCUAGCUGGUCUGAGAGGAUGGCCAGCCACACUGGGACUGAGACACGGCCCAGACUCCUACGGGAGGCAGCAGUGGGGAAUAUUGCGCAAUGGGCGAAAGCCUGACGCAGCGACGCCGCGUGGGUGAUGAAGGCCUUCGGGUCGUAAAGCCCUGUCGGGAGGGAAGAAAUCUCACCAGCCUAAUAUGCUGGUGACUUGACGGUACCUCUUAAGGAAGCACCGGCUAACUCCGUGCCAGCAGCCGCGGUAAUACGGAGGGUGCAAGCGUUGUUCGGAAUCACUGGGCGUAAAGCGCGUGUAGGCGGCUAUCUAAGUCUGA